AUUGAACGCUGGCGGCAUGCCUUACACAUGCAAGUGAACGGUAACAGGUCUUCGGAUGCUGACGAGUGGCGAACGGGUGAGUAAUACAUCGGAACGUGCCUAGUAGUGGGGGAUAACUACUCGAAAGAGUGGCUAAUACCGCAUGAGAUCUACGGAUGAAAGCAGGGGAUCGAAAGACCUUGUGCUACUAGAGCGGCCGAUGGCAGAUUAGGUAGUUGGUGGGAUAAAAGCUUACCAAGCCGACGAUCUGUAGCUGGUCUGAGAGGACGAUCAGCCACACUGGGACUGAGACACGGCCCAGACUCCUACGGGAGGCAGCAGUGGGGAAUUUUGGACAAUGGGCGAAAGCCUGAUCCAGCAAUGCCGCGUGCAGGAUGAAGGCCUUCGGGUUGUAAACUGCUUUUGUACGGAACGAAAAGCCCUGGGUUAAUACCCUGGGGUCAUGACGGUACCGUAAGAAUAAGCACCGGCUAACUACGUGCCAGCAGCCGCAGUAAGAC
rnacentral:rRNA from 1 species